CCCUCCCCUGCCUGCAGAGGAAGGGAGAGCAGACGGUGAGCGAGGAGAGGAGCCCGGUGGGGCGGACUUGGCUGACAGCACGGAGGCUGGGAAAGGAGGGGAAGCCUCCUGCCACCGCCAGACUCUGUUUUGCAGACGCUGAAAGCCCUGGGAAGCGGCCCGCAAACGUGGCACAGCGGAGGGAGCAGGAAGGACCGGGAUCGGGCCCCGCGUGUGCUCGGAGCUUGUCAGCCAAGCGCAGCCCUGCGGCCGCGAUGGACCCCGCCGCCGGGCACAUGCCAAGGGGCAGCGCAGCCUGGAUGGGCGCCGCCCGCGCCGUCUGGCCGAGAACCCCCCCCCUUCCCCCCACGCAGCCAAUCCGAUUUCCGCCGCUUCCCUUCUUCCAGAUCCCCCCUCCCCACCACGGGGAUCCCGAGCCUGCGGGGGGAAGGAGGAGGGCGGCGAGACGGGCUCGGAUCCGCGCCCCUCCGGGGGUGAGCGGCAGCCCCUGGGCGAAGAGCCACAGGGGCUGCAAGACUCUGGAGCUGACAGCCAGUGGAGCCCUGGCAGGGUUCCAGCGACAGGUGACAGCAGUGACAAGCGACAGGAGGCCCCCUGCAAAGUUCCAGCGACAGAAAACACUGAAGCAAAACUAGAAGAACAAAGGAGAAGGGUCUGGAGGAAAAAUAAACUGAAACAGAGUCCUACUUCUAUGGCAGUUAUAUUUUAAAAAAAACCUAAAUAAAGUUGUAUAAAUGCUGGUGUCUAACUACCAUUUAGGACUCCAAUUGUGCCAAAAAAUGGAAACAUUUAUACAAGCAAUGAAACUGCACAUCAGCAGCACCCAAGAUGACAGUCACCAUGGGAACAUUAUCAUUUCUCAUAAAACGCACUGAUAGCACAGCAGUUCAAGGAAUGGUCACGAGAAGUGCAGGAUUACUAUAUAUGGAGAGAGAGAAGUGUGAGCAAGAUAAAUAUUGAGGUGAAAAAGUAGCUAGUUUAAAUUCAAUCCAGAUAAGAAAGAAAUUAUGCUGAUAUGAGGAAAACAAGGAACUAGCAGGAGCUCUGGUCUUACCUUUAUGGAAGAUGUCUGCCCUGAUUGCCAUGAUGAGAUACAGCCUUGUGCUCCUUCUGGGCUCAUUGGAUCUCCAAAACACCCAAAUAGCAGAAAUAUGGCUUUUUCCAGUUUCAGCAAGCUAGGAGCCUGCACUCUUUCCUAUCAGGUGAUCAAUACCAGUGCCACUUUAAGGCUUGCCUACUGCAAUUUGUUCAGCAUUGGACUACUAUGAAGGCUACAUAGAAAAGUCAGCUGGUUCCUUAUGCAGUGAACAGCCAUUUAGAUAAGUCCGACCAACAAGAGCACAUCACAUUGGUGCUUGAUCCUCCCAUCUGGCUCCCUAUGCAAUUCUACAUCCAUUUCAAGGUUUUAGUGCUAAUCUUCAAAUAUUUCAAUGGGCUGGGGCCUAGAUAUCUCAAAGAUUCUGUGCAACCCAGCUUGACAGCUGAGAUCAAUGGGCACACUGUGGCUGAUGGUGUCUUCAGUGAAACUGGAGAUCAGGACAAGCCUGUCAUAGAACACGGUGCCAAACACUUCUACAUAUGCCUUACUGCAAUGAUGAUUAACGAAUGGCUGACAGCUUUUUUUCCAGGAAAAGAAACAAGAAAGAACAUUCCCCUUAGAAAAAUGGUGGUGAGAUCACAGAGAGCAGGAGUGUGUUAUCUUUGUGGACGAAAAUUUGCAUAUCUUGUGUAUUUGAUGGCUGCAUGCUAGGCUAUGGUGAUGGUACUUUAGGAAUGACAGGUAGAGAGACAAUUCUUCAGAGGUGCUGAGCACCUGUAAUUUACAUUAACUGCAACAGCAUCUCUGCGGAUUUGGCCUAUAGAGAGGGAGGAGGAGGAUGAAACAGUUACAAAUGACACUGUAAGUGGCAACACUGAACAACAACCUCCACAAGCAUAGGCACACAUAUUUGGAAGGAAAUGUAAAGCAUAAAAGAAGUCAAUAAAAGAGCCAAGCUGAGGCUUUUGAACAGCACACAAGAGAGCAUGGGGGGACAGCAUAACCCAGUGAUGAGGGUCACAGCUAAAAGGCAAAGCAAGGACCUCUCUUCAUUCUUUAUAUACAGAUACCUGGAUAUCCAUCCAGCUGUGUGGCCACAUUUCCCCCUUUCUGUUGCCGGGCAGCUGCUUUUGCUAUCGAGUUCUGUGGACACUGCAGUGCAGCAAACAUUUGCUGUUCCUUCCAAACCAAUGUUGAAAAUGCUGGCAUGGACAGGAUCAGCCAAGUUCAACACCCAUCAUAGUAAAGUAUACUAGACCCUAGCUGGAAGAGACUGAUACAAUACUGAGAGAUUAGAAGGAAAAGCUAAUCAGAGUUUUCUUAACCCUAUCUCCUGUUCCCAUACAGUCCAUUGCCUUAAUAAUGAAAGAGUAAUGUUCCCAUCAUCCCAUGUAUACUAGUGUGUUGUUGUGUGGUCAUGAGCAGUAAAUUAUUUACAAGGAAUUUAGAAAAAAUAGCAUUGAAGCAUUUGUUUUUAAAACAGAUAUAUGAAGAUCCUGGUCUCAGAUGAUCUUGCCGCUCUGGGACUUACAGUGCUCAAGCUCCACUGCAGAUGAAAAUGCAGACAGCUGAAUGGGAGGCAGACACUAUUGGCGCACAAGGGCUCAGCACAAGGGGUGGCCCCAGGUUCAUUAUUAAGGGAAGUAGGAGCAAAGGUCACUGACUGGGAGGGAAGUGGGGCAAGAAGGCCACUGGCUGCAGAAGAAGAGGAGAAAGGUAGCUGGCUGUCUGGGAAGUUGGGCAAAUUGACCACUGGCUGUUACAGUUAAAGUCUUAAUCUGGUAAACCGGUACACAAUCUCUCCAAAUGCUUGGCCACUAUUAGUCUAAAUCACAAAUGAUUAAAUAAUAAAAUACAGCUAAAAUUCUAUCUUAAAACCACAAAACCAAGAUAAGCUAGAAUCAGGAAAGUCGGCCUCUUGUAUAUGGUUAUUGCUGAUUAGAUGGUACAUAAAAAAUGCCAUUAUAGAAUUCUCCACCAAUGUCCCAGUACAGCAGGGAGAGAUACAGAGCCUGAUUGUCUGUUACAUUAUAGACCAUUUGAUCCUCUCCUGUGGCACUAUGGGGUUAUAAAACUCAUUGAUCUGACUAUUGAGGAAUUCCCUCCUAACAAGAGAAUCUGCCUGUAGCACAAAAGUGGAGUGAUAGCGCUCUGCCACCCGCAGUGUAGGCUGCUUGGGUGGGAAGCAGGGACAUUGCUGUGUUCUGACU